AAAAAAUUCGGUAGUCUCCGAGCCUUCUUCUUCUUCUGUAGGUACCAGUUCAUUCUUCACUGAAAUUAUCUUCAUAAAAUUGCUGAAAAAAAUGAGAGGAACUGAAAUGCUGAUUCGUAGAGCAUUAUUCGCUAAAUCUUCCCACCAUUACGCUAUUUUUACUUAUCCCUUUUCUUUCUUCUGUUCAAAUUUUCAUAGUGUGAGUCACAAAGAUCGAUCCUUUUCACCUAAACCCAGAAUAGAUUUGAGUUGUAUAAAUGAAUUAGAUGAUGCUGUUUUCUUGUUUCGUCAAAUGGUUAGAAUGCAGCCACAGCCUUCCGUUUUUAAAUUCACCAAACUACUGCAAGUUAUUUUCAAGAUGAAGCAAUAUUCGGUUGCCCUUAAACUGUUCGACGAAAUGCGUCAAUGGGGUGCCCCUAUAGAUGAGUACACAAUGACCAUCUUAAUUAAUUGUUGCUGCCUUUUGAAACGCGUAGACAUUGGUUUUGCUAUCUUCGGCUGCUUCUUUAAACUCGGACACAAGCCAGGUGUUACGACAUUCAACACUCUCCUAAAAGGAUUCUUUUUAGAUGGUAAUGUGGCCGAGGCAGAGAAAUUGUUCAAGAAGAUCUUGACUUUGAAUCUUUGUGAGCCAGACGAUGUUACGAUUCUAACUGCGAUUGAUGGGCUCUGCAAAGCUGGACGUGUUCAUACUGCCCGUGAUUUGCUUUUGUUGUUGGAAAAAACUACUAUCUAUAAACCCGAUGUUAAGGCUUAUAACGCUGUAAUAAAUGGCUUAUGCAAGACCGGAAUGGUGGAUAAUGCACUCGAGCUGAAGUCUAGAAUGAUUGAUAAGGGCAUUUCACCUGACGUUGUCACAUAUAACUCGAUGAUUCAGGGCUUGUGCGAUUUUGGUAGAUGGAAAGAGGUGAAGGAUUUAUUAAAUGAAAUGGUGAAUCACAAGAUUUCUUUAACUGUUGUUACUUUUACUGUAUUGGUGGACGCAUUUUGCAAGGAAGGAAAUGUUAAAGAGGCUCGGGAGGUAUUGGAAAUUAUGAAGCAACAAAACAUUCGUCCCGAUAUUGUCACCUACACUGCACUGAUAGAUGGGUAUUGUUUGCAAGGGAAAAUGGAUAAAGCGAAAGAGGUAUUUGAUUCCAUAGCGAGCAGCGGCCUUAAGCCGUGUAUUAUCAGCUAUAACUCUUUAAUCAAUGGGUAUUGCAAGAACGGAAAAGUUGAUGAAGCUUGGCGUCUUUUUCUCGAAGUUUCUUCGAAAGGCUUAGAGCACACAAUAACUACCUAUAACAUCAUGAUACAUGGACUUCUUAGUGAAGGUCGAAUUAAUGAUGGAUGGAAACUUUUCAAUGAUAUGGAGACUCGGAAAGUGCAUCCUAAUUUAUUUACUUACAAUAUUUUGUUGGAUGGCUUGUGCAAGACUCAUCAGAUUUCUGAAGCAUUUUCAUUUCUACGGGCGAUGGAAGAUAAAGGAGCAAGUCCUGAUAUAAUCACGUAUCGUAUCCUGAUUAACGGUUUGUGCAGGGAUGGGAAACUUGAAGAUGCAAAACAUCUUUUAAACGAACUUCCUUCGAAAGGUUUGCAACCUGAUUGUCAAGCGUAUACCAUUGUUGUUGGUUCACUUUGUCAUGAAGGAUUUGUAGACGAGGCAAAAAAUUUGCUUGUGAAAAUGAAGAGAAGCGGUUGUGCACCGAAUAGCGUGACAUACAACAACAUAAUCCAAGGUUUGCUAAAGAGGAAAGAGGUUUACAAGGCAAUGCCAUUCUUAGAGGAAAUGUACAAAAGGGGAUUCUCGGCCAACGCAGCUACUUCGUCCAUGUUAAUUAAUCACCUUCAAGGAUCCAAGAAAGAUGUUGUUCUUCUGAAAAUGAUGAAGAAAGUUGUGCCAAAAAUAUAAAUUAUUUAUUUGAGCUUCUGUAAUAACACAGUUUUGCGAUGACUUGGUACGAUUUUUUGCGAUGUGUUUCCGAUUGAAGUGUGUAUAUCAUGUUGGCCUAGUGAAUAUCCUUUCAAAUUAAAUGCACAUCCCAUCUUUCUGCCCUUUAAUACUUUUUUCCUCCGAUGAUUAUACAUAUACUUUGAAAACGUGGGUGGAUCAAUGCUCAAGGCUGUGCUGCUCAACAUGAGGAUCCAUGGUCGUAUCAUUUUUUUUAUUAAUCUCAUCUCAAAGCGCGUAUGAAUGCAGGGAUUCGAAAGUGGCCCUUAUACGUAUGUCUUUUUUCUGGGAAAAUAUAGGCAAGCAGAUUAUUUGUGUAGCUAAUGAAAAAAAACUAGGAUAUGAGAUAUUGUCCACUUUUGUACUGUUGAAGGCUCCAUCUCUGUUAUUUUGUGUGUCCGUAAAAAAGAUAAAAAUUAAUAAAUUAAAAGAAGAAGAAGAAAUUUUCUAUGCUAUUUAGUGCGAAUGUGUCACAUAGUCCUGCUACAGCGUAUAGCGUUAUAUUCAUUACAAGUUAAUAUUUUCUUGUUUCUUUUUUUUUUUUUUUUUUUUUUUUUUUCUGGAAAAAUGUUCCACAUCAAAUUACUGGCUGCAAAUCAACAAAAUAAUUUUUUUAUUAGAAAUCAAUAUAUAGCAAAUCAAUCAAAUAAAUUUCAAUUAGAAAUCAGUAAAUUUAAAAUAUAUUACUUCUCCAUCAUCAAUUUUUACCCGACCCGCCCCGAAAUUUCAGGGUAAUACCCGCCCCGCAAAUAAAUGCGGGGGUACGGAUUCUAAUUGUUCACCUGAAAACGGGUUCGGGGCGAGUGCGGGUUUGUAUAUACCCGCCCCGUACCGCCCCAUAGACCCGCCCCGCAUCUAUAUAUAUAUAUAUAUAUAUAUAUAUAUAUAUAUAUAUAUAUAUAUAUAUAUAUAUAUAUAUAUAUAUAUAUAUAUAUAUAUAUAUAUAUAUAUAUAUAUAUAUAUAUAUAUAUAUAUAUAUAUAUAUAUAUAUAUAUAUAUAUAUAUAUAUAUAUAUAUAUAGCAGGGCGGGUACCUGCGGGUUUUCUAUGGGGGGGGUGCGGGUUGAGAAAAUUUAUACCCAUUGCGGGGCGGGUGCGGGUUGAACGGGUUUGUUAACGGGGCGGGUGCGAGGAAUGCAAAACCCGCCCCAAACCCGCGCCAUGACCAUCCCUACCUUUUACCAAUAUCCCCUUUUGAUAUUUAAAUUAAGGGCUCUUAUGAUAUAGGUCUCCGGUGACAAAACUAAUUUGAACUAAAUGACAAGCCUAACUAAACUUUUGUUUCACAUCCUUUAUUAAAUUCAUUCAAAAAAUGCCCCUCCAUACAUAAAUUCGAAUUUGUAUUAAUUAAAUUCAAGCUACAUUUUAUCAUUUUAUUAUGCAUUUAAUAUCUUCAUUUUUUCAUCUAAUAAUAUAUUUUAUUUUAUUUUUACCGACUUGGUCAUCUUUAUUUAUUCGUUUUUUACUCUAACAUUUUUUACGUUAUUAUAAGUAACUUUUUUUUAGAACAUUUUAUUGAAAAUUACGAAAAAAUAUUUUUUUUCGUUUUUAUCAAAUAUUACAGCAGAUUUUUAAAAUACUAUAGUGUACUAUGGUAUACUAUGUUAUGCUAUGCUAUUGUAUAGUGUAUACUAUGGUAUUCUACGGUAUAUUAUGGUGUACUAUUCUGAACGCUAUCAUUCAACAACUCCCAGCUGCUGCCAAACCCUCUUCCAGCCACCGUUAAAUCAUAGCACCCAACAAAUUUCAGCCACCGCCAAACCAAAUCUGCAAAAACAUAGUCGUCCACCAACCCUAGCCGCCGACCAAAUUAAACCCUAGCUGCUAUAGCCAUCGACCAAAUUAAACCCUAGCCCCCGACCAAAUUAAACCCUAGCCGUCAACAAAAUUAAACCCUAGCCGCCAUAGCCGUCGACCAAAUUAAAACCUAGCCGCCACCAUCCGCCAUAGAUCAGACCUCCACCACCAUAGUCGCCAACGUCAACUGCCUCCAUAACCAUCAUCUUAUUGUCGCCGCCUCCAUCGCCAUAGUUGCGCCAUAGCCAUCCCUCCUCAACAAUGGAGUGAAGUAAUGGAGAGGGAGAAUGAGAGAAAGAGAGAGAAAGAGAACGAGAGAAAGAGAGAGGGAGAGAGAUAGCGAGAACGAGAGAAAGAGAGAGAGAGAUAGCUUAUUGUGAGAGAGAGCAGAGAGAACGAGCGAAACGAGAGAGAAGAGAGAAGAAAUAAAACAAAUAGAUUUGAGAGAAGUGUGACUGUAGAAUUUAUGGUUUAGGUUGAGAGCAAAUUUGGGAUAAAAAAAAUGUAAAAGAUAUGGAUCAUAUUUAUUUUUGUAAAAAUGAUUUAGUUCAUAAAAAUAUAUUAGGGUUGUAUCUCACAUCUAAUUAUGUUUCCAACUAGGGACCUCUAGUAUAUUAACCCUUAAAUUAAUCAUAAAUCCUUUGCUACCUAAUAUACCCAAGUUACCUUUUUUACUUCAUUACCCCUACUUCUUGAAACACGUUGUCAUUCACUCAUCCACUCUCCUCCUUCUCUCUCUUGCGACACAUUUUUUUUUUUUGAGUAAAUUCAAGUUCAUUACAAGGGGAAGUAGGGGAGGGAUGGACUCGAACCCUAGACUUUAAUUACCCUACUGGUAAAGGCUAGGUACCAACUCUCCUCAUGAGGGUUGGUGACACAAUUCAACUCUUUCCCCCUCUCUUCUCGAUCAAUCCACUUCAAAGCCACAACGUUUUAUCGAUUCGAUUGGAAUUAAAAUGUUGCGCAGACAUUUCAUAUGACUCCAUUGAGAUAAGCGUAGAUAAGGAGGUUAAAUUUGAACAGCCACCGGACGGAGAGGAAUAAGAGAAAAGAAGCCGACAAAUACGUAUGUGCCUCUAGCGGUCUUAUCGUUUUGUACAGUGGUGAAUAGUCAACUGGAUAAAUUACACUGUCGGUCACUGUAAAAAAAUAAUAAUAGAGAUACACUCAUGGUACACACAGAUAUCCAAAUCGUCGAACCUUUUGUAAAUAAAGGCUGGACAUUGAAGAUAUAUCUGAUUCAAGACUAUGGUUUUGAGUUUUUUUCGAUAUGUAGUUGAUUUUUACUUUUCUUGUUGAGUUUUGUUGUAGCUGAUUUCGAUAAUUUGUUAGUUGGUUUUGGUGAUUUUGUAGUUGAUUUCGGUGAUUUUUGUAGUUACUUUCGGCGAUUUUGUAGUUGAUUAUGAUUUUGUACAGUCAUUUUUGUUAUAAUAAAUAGUUGUUUUGAAUUGUAUGUACGUUAAAAUUAUAGCUGGUUAUCUAAUAAAAUAUAGUUGAUUAUCUAAUAAUAUUUUGUAGUUGAUUACUGUAAUUUGUAGCUGAUUAUAAUUUUAGUUAAUAAAGAAAAAAAAAUUAAAAAAAAUUGUAGUUGAUAAUUGUAAUUUGUAAUUGUUUAUGAUGCGGUAAAUCUAUCAGGGAAAAAAAGAUGAAUUUAAAAAAAAAAUAAUUUAUAAAAAUUAAUUUAUUAAAAAAUAAAUUUAUUAAAAAAAAGUAGAAAAUAUGGUAAAUCUGUCAGGGGAAAAAAAGACAAAUUUAUUAAAAAAAUAAAUUAAUUGAUUAAAAAAUAAAGUUAUUAAAAAAAGUAGAAAAUAUAACGAUAUAUAGGUAGUGGGUAACAUGGGUGGGAAAAUGGAAUAAUGUAAUGGUCUAAUGGAGUUAUAUGAUAAGUUAGGGGGACUCUUAAAUGCAAAUAACAAAGUGAGUUUAGUUCUAUGAAAACAAAUAAUGAGGGGGUUCUCGCUAAUUGACCCUUCGUUAUUUGGUUAUUUUCGAAAAUCAUGUUAUUACUAUAUUUAGGAAAGUUACAAAAUUCUUUUGGAGAGUUUCGAACAAGGAUUGGAUUUUUUUGGGAAGAAAAUAAAAAAUCUAUGUUUCCUUAAAAAGUACUCCCUCAGUUCCCUUUUAAUAGUCGUUUUAUAUUUGCACACGGAUUUAGGAUUCUAUUAAAUUUGUCUUGAUUUUAUGAAAAAUGUAUGUUUUUAGAUUGAAAUGACCUUAUCUUAUAGUUAAUAAAAGAGGCAAAUGAAUUAAAAAAUAAGUAUAAGAAGAAUUAAUAAUGGUAUAAACUGGAAAUUAAGUAAUUAAUGGAGUAUUGGAAAUCUAAAGUGACAGAUAAUAUAAAACAAAAUAUAUUUAAAAAGAGAGAGUUAUUAUGGAACAUAGGGAGUAUCAUUUAUCUAAUGCAACCACUUAUAAAAUUUUAUAUGUAUUUUUUUCUAAAAACCAUUGUAUACGUAUUUAACUAGAGAUAAUUACAGUUUUGGUCGUUAAACUUUUGUGACACAAAAUUGAUCCUCAAAUAAUUAGUUUUUUUACACUCAGCAAAUAAUUACAGAAUUGUCAUGUAGUAGUAUUUACAGAAACUAGUAUUCACCCGUGCGAUGCACGGGGCGACAUAUUUUGAAAUGGAAAAACAUGUCUGAAAAAUAAAUUUACGCAGAUAUCUAUUAUUUAAGUACAAAAUGUCAUCGACCAAUAAUAAUAAAACUAUGUUAUAAGUGUCAUGUUUUUCAUAGUUAUAAUAUAAGAAUACUAUUAAAUAUUAGUAUAUCGGCAAAAAUAAAUCUUAAAGAUAAUACGAUUUGCACCGAGCACCCUCGGGACAUGACUAAAAAUAACAUUGCACCGAGGAAAAUAUAUAGAGAAGAAACACAUGCAAAAGAAUAAGUUCUUUAAAAAAUAAAAAAAACAUGUUACAUGAAUAACUCAUAAAUAUGAAAAUAUUUAUACGUUCAAAUUCGAUGAAAUACUUCCUUGUACACGACAUUUCUAGUAACAUUGGUGAGUUCACCCGAAUCAGACUUGAUGAAUAUCUUAAUGUCAGCUCUGCUCUUAACUCUGGACAGUGCAACAUAUAGUUGACCAUGGCUGAAGACAGGCCUAGGAAGAUACAAACCAACAUGCGAAAGAGUUUGGCCUUGACUUUUAUUGAUCGUCAUUGCAAAAGAAACAAUCAACGGAAAUUGUCUUCUCUGAAAUUUAAUUGGCAGUCCGGAGUUAGAUGGUAUUAAAGUCAUCCGAGGAAUGAACACCAUGUCACCGAUAUUUUUUCCGGAAAGAAUUUUGCAACUCAGAACGUGAAUGCCAGUUCUAAUAAUUUGAAGUCAGGUACCGUUGCACAAUCCUCUAGCUUGAUCGAUGUUUCUUGUUAGCAUAUCUGGUGCACCAACCUUGAACUUCAACGCAUGAGAAGGAACUCCGGAGCAUCUUAUUGUGUUGAGGAAUUCAGUCGAAUAAAUUUCUGCAUUAUCCUCCGUUGUUUGCUCGCCCCUACACAUAUUAUCUGAGCUCAGGUAUACCUUCUCCUCUAUUGGAAGCAGAGACAUUAAGUGAUCGUUCACAGACUCGACGCAUUCAUUAGUUGGUGCAAGAGUGGCCCUCCCUUGAAAAUAAUCUGGAUCGUACAUGUUACUCAACAAAUCCGGGUAAACGAAUUCGAGUAGGUCUCUGAAUGGAUCUUCUGAAUCACCGAUCAACAUGCAUCUGGAAUCUCUAUCGAAGCUUCACCAUCAUUGUCUUCCCCAACAUCCCCAUUAGCAACAUUCAAUAUCCAGUCUCCAAAUUCUUUUAUCUCAUUCACGUUAGAUGGAGAAGAGCAUGACUGCAAUCUCAUGUUCUUAGUCAACUUCAUGACACGACAGAAAUUCCACAGCGGAGAGGAGUUUAUCGUAGCAUGUACUAUGUCCUGCCUUGAGGCUUUGAGCACAACUGGUAAAAUCUGCCUAAAAUCUCCUCCAAGAACAACCACCUUACCACCAAAGGGUUUGUCAACUUGUAGUAUUGACUUCAUUGUCUUGUCAAGGACUUCAAAACAGUAUCUAUGCAUCAUAGGAGCCUCGUCCCAUAUAAUAAGUUUUGCCCUCAUGAGCAACUCCGCCUGUGGACUUUGAUGCGAUAUGCUGCAGGUGGAACUCUCAUGUACAUUUAUGUUAUUUGUAUAUGGUAUAUUUAUGUAAGUAUCCAUAUAAUAUGAAUAUUUAAAUUGGACAUAAAUUCGGAAAGCUAGGAAUGUGGCAUAAUUACAUGAAUUCAAUACGUAUAAAAAAGAUACUUAAGUGUGUUAAAUAAGAAAAUUUAUGUUAUGAAUCAUUGAUUUAUCAAUUUAAUUAGUAAAUAAACUAAAUAACAUGUAUUUGAACUUUAUGAUUAAGAAAAAUAUAUGAAAAUUCCUAUAUAAUUAAUUUUAGGACACGUGGGCUUUUUGUUAAUAAUAAUAAUACUAUAUAUGGAUUGUUUUGUAAUAAUAUUAAUAGUAUACAAUGAUUGCUUUGUAAUAAUAUUUUUUUACAAAUGAACAUUUUAAUUGAAUAUUGAUAAAAAAGAACUAUAUAAAAGUGACGAUUAUUAAAAAAAACAUUGGUACGGAAUAUUUUUGAAUAAGUAAUUAAUUUAUUGAUAAUACGAUUUAAAGAUAAAACAUAAUAAUCUAAUCGACAUUCGCAACAAUAAUUACAUUUCUUGUACUGUCAAACGCAAACGAAUAAGUAUUGCCAAUAACCAUAUUGUUGGAAGAACAAAACGAUUUCCAGCCAAUAGUGAGGUAGACAUUAGGUUUUUUACGUCUUCUUGUUGUACGUACUCUAAUAUUCCUCGUUGUACCACCGUGAAACUCAACAUCGAUGUAGUUUUUGCCAAUCAACCCAUGAUUCUUAGCAAAAGAUUUGCGUAUAUACUAUAACGUAUGCAAAUGAAAAAAUUAGAAUAAAUAUAAUGAUAAGUUUAUGUUAACAUUCAAUGAAAAUUUCACAUUAAGAAAUGAUAUUACCUUCUGGUGGAGAUCUUUGAACGUAAAAUUUCUCUCAAAGUAGAUGAGUGAGGCAUUAAUGUUAGUUACAUCGUCAUCAAAAUGAAAUUCAUUUUCAUUAGAAAAUGGUUGAUACAUCGUCAUGUUGAAAGACCAAUCGCAUUGACCACACCUCCACACAGAGCCGAAGUGCCGACGUUCAUUCGACGGUAUACACAUAUAAUGUGUAAACACACAUUCACACAACCCACAAUUGAAAAAAGUUUUGUAAUCUUCUGUUUCAACUACACCACAUAUAAAACAUGGCCCCGUGCGCAGUUCGACUUUGAUAGAUUCUCUGCAUGAAAUACACAUACAUGGAUCCAAAUUGCGAUCAAAAUGGUUGUUGCAAAGUGUUAGUUGAAUUUCCAUUUUCCUGUCGAACGAAUUUUUAAUCUACUUUCCAAAUUAUGCUUACAAUCCAUACUAUAUAAUCUACCCAACUCAAGGGGAGGGGGGAUACUAAAAUCCGUACAGUAAUGUGCGUAAAGAAAUGUGGAGUGAAAGAACGAUUAAAAAAUAUAAAAUCAAUAAUUCUUGAGUGAAAACAUUUACCUACAACAAAUUGAAGUAUGUGGCUUGAGUAUUGAAAAUAACAUUGAGUUGGGUAGAUUAUAUAGUAUGGAUUGUAAGCAUAAUUUGGAAAGUAGAUUAAAAAUUCAAAAUUCACAUUUAAAAAAUGAGCGUUAAUCUAUGAAUAACUUGUAUAUGGUGAUAUUUUAAAAAUAUAAUUGAUUUAAUUUAACAUUGCAUAAAUUAAUACUCUUUCUAUAAUCAAAGUAUUUCAAAAUAUAUGGGUAUUUAAAAUAAAUUUAGAAAAUACAGACAUUAUACUCAUAUCAAUAUUUAAUUAUUAUAGUCUACGGAUUUCAAAAUUAAUGUCAAAGUUAAUACAAAAAAGGCUAAAAAUCUUAUAUAGAUGAUUAAUAUAUUUGCCUUAAUAACGUAUAUGUUAUUGAAAAUAUCGGAUACUAUUACCAUAAACACAACGUGAUAUUAAAGAACAUAGAUAUUAAUAGGUUAUAGUAGAAUGUAAAAUAUUUAAUUUAUAUAUUGAAAAGACAUUUACGUGUGAAUAAGUUGGUUAUUAAACAUGUUACAAUAAUUUAUUAUUGUUAAUUUAAUACAUGUAAUUAUAAAAAGCAUUUUGACCGGUAUUAAUUCAUCCUUUUUAUUUUAAAAUAUAUUAACACAUGGGUGAUUAAGCUGAUUCAUAUGUAAAUGUUUCAUAAAAUAUAUUACAUAGAUCGUAGAAUAUAAUAUAGAUUAUUAUAUUUAUAAAGAUAAAUAUUUACGUAAAUAUAACAAUGUUAUAUAUAUGGGUACUCUCUUUCGUAUGACAACUUAUAAUCUUUGUAGCGGAUUGCAAAGGAAAGGGCAAACAUAAAGGAAAUAUGUAUUAUACUUAANNNNNNNNNNNNNNNNNNNNNNNNNNNNNNNNNNNNNNNNNNNNNNNNNNNNNNNNNNNNNNNNNNNNNNNNNNNNNNNNNNNNNNNNNNNNNNNNNNNNGAAUUUUGAUAGCAAUUGUCAUAAAAAACAAGAUUUUGUUUACAUUAUUAUGAUAAUAUUUAUAUUUAUUUUGAAUCACAAAUAAAAAUAUGUUUAGUAAAAUAUAAGUAGCUUUUUUAAUCCUUAUUUUUUUAUCCAUUUUUUUAAUCCUUAUAAAAGUUUGUCAAAUUUUAAUAGUAUUUCGAACGUAUACAUUCUAAUAGCAUCACCGGUUUACAUAUAUCUUACUUUGUUAAACAAUGGAAAUGAAUUAAACAAAUAAAUGUAAACUUUGUUAAGAUUUUGUUUUAAAUGAUUUGUUAUGGGUUAAAAGAUUGGGCUUUUUGUUUCAAUAUAGUUGAAUAAAUUUUUAUAUUUGCAGUCAUAUAUAACAAUUUUUUUAAUUGUAUAUGUUUUUGUAGAUAUGAUCAAGACGGACAUCUUAUAUAUUGGCAAUCAAAUGUUUACUACCCAGAAAUAUGUGUACUUUCGGUUAUGUUUACAAUUCCAUUUCAAUUUUUUGUGUACCAAUAUCAUACCAUGUGUCUUCUUUUUAAUUUUUUUUCUUUCUCAUAUUUUAGUUUGUGUACAAUCAGCGAUACAUGCGAAGCAAUUUAUUUAUUAUUUUUUUUGAUAUGAAAAAACCCCAUUAUUUAUUUGUGGCAAAUUUAUUUAUAUGCCAAAUUCCUUUGUUUUGAAUAUUUUUCGUUUCGUAUUUCAUGGUGUUGAUUUGGUUAAUCAAACAAUAAUUAUUCAAAAUAUUGUUGUUGGUUUGAUAAUGAUAUUGGUAUUGGUAUUGGUACUGGUAUUGCUAUUAUUAUUAAUAUUAAUAUUAAUAUUAGUAUUAGUAUUAGUAUGAGUAUUAGUAUAAGUAUGAGUAUGAGUAUGAGUAUGAGUAUAAGUAUAAGUAUAAGUAUUAUUAUUAGUAUGAUUGGGAUUAGUAUUAAAAUUAUGAUCAAAAUUAAUAUUAAUAUCAUGAUUAAGAUUGGAAUUGUGAUUAGUAUUAAUAUUAAUAUUAGUAUUAUAAUUAGGUCAGUAUUACCAUUAGUAUUCCUAUUUGUAUUUGUAUUAGUAUUAUGAUCAGGAUUAUGAAUAGAGUCAUCAUUACAAUUAGUAUUAAGAUUAGAAUUAAUAUUAAUAUGAGUUAUAAUAUUAGUAAUGGUACGAGCAAUAGUAAUAUUGUAAUGGUAAUAAUAUUAGUAUAAGUAUUACUAUUAAGUAUCAGAAUUAUUAUCAAUAUUAGGAUUAAUAUUAGUAUCAGUAUCAGUAUUACUAUUAGUUUUAGUAUUAAUAUUAGUAUUAUAUUGAUAUUAGUAUAGAUAAUAGUAUAAUUAGUAUUAGUAUUAAUAUUUUUAGUAUUAGUACAAAUAUUUGUGUUAGUGUUAGUGUUAGUGCUACUGUUAGUGUUACGUGUUAGUGUUAGUGUUAGUAUUAGUAUUGGUAGUAGUAGUAGNNNNNNNNNNNNNNNNNNNNNNNNNNNNNNNNNNNNNNNNNNNNNNNNNNNNNNNNNNNNNNNNNNNNNNNNNNNNNNNNNNNNNNNNNNNNNNNNNNNNAUUACGGUUUUGAUAUAAUAAGGAUUUGCAUUAGGAUUAAGAGUAUGAUUAACAUUAGUAUUAUCAUUAGCAUUAGUAUAUUACGAUUAAUAUGAAAAUUAGGAUUAGUAGUAGGAUUACGAUUAAUAUUAGAAUACUAACAUAAAUAUAUUCUAUUAACAUUAGCAUAUUAGGGAUAAUCAUUAGUAUAUUAGGAUUAACACUGGAAUUGGGAUUAGUAUUAGUAAUAGAAUUAUAAUUAGGAUUAAAAUUAGAAUUCAUAUUAGUAUUAGUAUUCCUAUCUGGAUUAAGAUUGGUAUUAGGAUUAAGAUUAUGAUUAGUAUUAGAAUUAGAAUUAGCAUCAACAUUAGGAUUACGAUUAGGAUUAAUAUUAGUAUUAGUAUUUGGAUUAUGAUUAGAAUUAGAAUUAACAUUAAAAUUAGGAUUAGUAUUAGAAUUAAUAUUAGUAUUAGCAUUAACAUUAUCAUUAGCAUUAGCAUAUUUAGAUUAGCAUCAACAUUAGGAUUAUGUUUAUGAUUAGCAUAAGCAUUAGCAGUAGAAUUGGAAUUACGAUCAACAUUAGUAUAUUAGAGGGCUUAAUUCCACAUUGCACCCUUGAAAUUGAGCCUUUUGGCACUUUGCACCCUUGAAAAACAAUAAUAGCACUUUGCACUCUCAAAACACAAUAAAUUAUUCACAAUGCACCCUGAACUGAAUAAUGAAGGAAAUUUUUUUUAUUGUUUUUUUUUUAUCAGGUAUGCAAAAUAAUACAUAAAUUAUUAUUUUCUUCAACCUCCAACCUAAUUUCGAGCGCAAAAAGUGCGGGAAAAAAAAAACACCUGAUUAUUGGAAAAAACUAUAUUUUCUUACAAAAUAAACUAAAAUAAAAUUUUAUCACUAAAUUAUUCGAUUGAUGGAUUUUCUUAUUGUAACUGGUGGAAAUAUGAAGUAAAAAUAUUUGGAAAAAAAAUAUGAUUUUCAGAUAACUUGAUAACGAAAUAGAUGAAGGAUUCUUUUUUUCGUAAAAUAUUUUAUUGGGAUAAAAAGUAUAAUUUUUAAAUAAGUUGAUGAGAUGUAUUUUUAUUUAUGGACUUUAUAGUUUCAAAAUGAUUGAUGAAUAAAAAAAAUUAUUUGACAUUUGUCAUCCUAAAAACUACCACUAAAAAUAUUAAAUUACAUUUAUUAGCUUCAAACAUUCAUUUGGGAUGCAUUAUGCAUGAUUUAUUAUGUUUCGAGGGUGCAAAGUACUAUUAAUUUAUUUCGAGGUGCAAAGUGCCAAAAUGGCAUAUUUCAAGGGUGCAAAGUGGGAUUAAGCUGCAUAUUAGCAUUAGCAUAUUAGAAUUAGAAUUAUAAUUAGAAUUAGCAUUAUCAUAUAAGUAUUAAUAUUAAUAUUAGUAUUAGUGUUAGCAUUAGGAUUAACAUUAGCAUUAGGUACAUUAGGAUUUUACUAUUAGUAUGAAUAUUAGUAUUAUGAUUAGCAUUAUGACUUGAAUUAGUAGAAUUAGUAUUAAUAUUAGCAUUAUAAUUAGAAUUAGGAUUCGGAUUAGGAUUAGCAUUAGCAUUAACAUUAGCAUAAUAUAAUUAGUAUUAAAAUUAGCGGUAGCAUUAGCAUAUGUGUAUUUUUAGGAUAAGAACUAUGAUUAGUAUUAUUAUUAUGAAUAGAAUUAGCAUUAAAAUUAAGAUUAGCAUUAUGAUUAGGACUAUAAUUAUGAUUAGGAUUAAGAUUAUGAUUAUAAUUAUGAUUAGAAUUAAUAUUAGGAUUGUAAUUUUGGUUAUGAUUAGCAUUAGAAUUAGUGUUAGGGUUAGGAUUACCAUUAACAUUAGAAGUAGAAGUAGAAUUAACAUUAAUAUAUUAGCAUUAGCGUAUUAGGAUUAAUGUGAAUAAUAGCAUAUUAGGAUUGACAUUAGUAUUAACGUAUUUGGAUUAGGAUUAGCAUUAACACUAGCAUUAGGAUUAUAAUUAUAAUUGAUAUUGACAAUGGUAUUAACAUUAACAUUAGCAUAUUAGGAUUAUCAGUAGCAUUAGUAUUACUAAUAGUAAUAGUAUUAUUAUCAGAUUAGUAUUAAUAUUUGUAAAGGUAAAGGUAAUGGUAAUAGUAAUGGUAAUGAUAUUGGUUUUGGUAUUGCUAUUUUUUUUGCUAUUGGUUUUAGUAUUAGUACAUUAGUAUUGGCAUUAGUACAUUAAUAUUAGCAUUAACGUAUUAACAUUAGUAGUAGUAUUAAUAUUAGUAUUAGUAUUAGUAUUAAUAUUAGUGUUAGUAUUAGUAUUAAUAUUAGUAUUAGUAUGAGGAAUAUGAUUAAGAUUAAUACUAAUAAAAUAAUUGGUAUUGAUAUUUGUAUUGGUUUUGGUAUUGAUAUUUGUAUUGAUAUUGGUUUUAGUAUCAGUACAUUAGUAUUGGCAUUAGUACAUUAAUAUUAGCAUUAAAGUAUUAGUAUUGGUAGUAGUAUUAGUAUUAGUAUUAGUAUUAGUAUUAGUAUUAGUAUUAGUAUUAGUAUUAGUAUUAGUAUAAGUAUUUGUAAUAGUAUUAGUAUUAGUAUUAAUAUUAAUAUUAAUAUUAGUAUUAGUAUUAGUAUGAUGAUUAUGACUAAGACUAAUACUAAUAAAAUAAUUUUUAAAUUGAAAUUUUUGAUGACAUGCUUAUCCGUGAUUCUGCAGAUCCAUUUUUUGAUCUUAUAGAGUUUGUUUACCUGGAUAUGGUGAGCAACCUGUUCAAUCCUGAGUACUUUGAGGCCAUAACAAUUAUUGCAUCGACUAAUGAAAGUGUCGGUUUUGUGAAUGAUCAUUUUUUGUCGCUCAUAACUGGAGAAGAGAAGGUUUAUUUGAAUUCCGAUAGUGUGUACAAUGAGGAGUUAAUAUCAUAGAUCUGAGUUCCUCAACACCAUAUCGUGCUCCAGAAUUCCACCUAGGUUGCAUUGAAAAGAUGUAUUCCCGUUAUGCUCAUCAAAAAUAUUGAUCAGGCUAGAGGAUCGUGCAGUGAAACUAGGCUUCAGGUUAUUAAUAUGGGAAAACACGUUCUCAAAUGCAAGACACUACCCGAUAAACAUGUUGACCAUAUAGUUCGUUCAUUGCUCAAAUGAUAUUGGUACCGUCCAACUCUACAUCGCCUAUUAAAUUUUAGCAACGUCAGUUUUCGGCGAUGGUUUCCUUUGCAAUAACAAUCAAUAAAAGUUAAAAGACAAACUCUUUCCCAUGUAGUAUUGCACUUGCUCAGACAUGUUUUCAGUCAUGGACAACUCUAUGUCACACUCUCGAGAGUUAAUAGUUGAAGUGGCAUAAGGAUUUUGAUCACCUCGGAAUCUGGCGAUACAACCAACUACAAAUAUUGUGGUACAAGGAUGUUUUUCGGCAUAUAUGAAGGUAACUAUAUAAAAUCUUAUACAAUUUUACAUAAUGACCUUUAUUUUGUAUAACUUAUAUGUUUUGGCAUUCCUCAUUUGUAGGUUAAUUUGCAUUGUACUAGGAACUUGCUACGGGCUCCACUCAAUAUUUUUAUCAAGGUAAUUUAUUGUAGAAUGAUUUUAUGUCAUUAAAUAUUUAUAUUUGUAUAAUUUUGGUAACGUUUUACUUAUUUUGUAUAAUCAUUGUACAAAAUAGCAGGUCAAUUGCAUUGUAUUGGAUUCGUUACAUGCGUUUAGGGAUAUUGUAGCUGAGACACGCUCAAAUAAGCUUCAACGAAUCAGUGAGCUCUAUCCUCUUUACUUGCCUCUACAAUAUCCUCUUUUAUUUUCUUACAGGGAAGAUGAUUAUCGAGACGAUAUCUGUUUGAGAGAAUCUUUGCUUGCUAAUAAUAGAAAAUGGAAGAAUGUAAGCAUGCGAGAGUUCUUUGCAUAUCUAAUCUAUAAACGGCGUUGAUAACAUUUGUUACUUUUGCAUUUCAAGAAGUUAUUUCAGCAGUUCUGUGUUGAUGUAUUUUCGAUGGUAGAGUCACAGAGGUUGAAUUUCAUAAGGUUCAAUCAAGAUCAACGUAACUUAGGGUUGACAUAUACAAGGGUAUCGAAGAAAAUAUUUUUAAAGAAGACAUUGAGGGUAAAUCAAUUGGACAACGCAUUAUAAUUCCAGGGUCGUUCACCGCAGGUCCAAGGUAUAUGUUUAACAACUUCGUUGAUGCUCUUCAAAUAUGUAACUGCAUUGGAUCUCCAACCCUCUUUAUUGCCAUCACAUGCAAUCCUCAAUGGUCUGAAAUACAAAGGGUGUUGAAAGAUACAAAUCUCAGGCCGGAGGAUCGGCCAGACAUUCUUUGUCGUGUGUUCAAGAUGAAGCUCGAUAGUAUGAUGACAUAAAUCAAGAAAGGUUGUAUAUUCAGACGUAUUACAGCAUGUAAGUAUUUAAUUAGAUCUCAGUUUAUAAUUAUACAUUUACUUCAUUCAUAUAAAUUAAAGAAUUUGCUCAUGUGUGAGUUUGCACGAAGCGAUUUCCAAAGCCAUUUGUGCAGCACACUAAAUCAGAUGCAGAUGAUUUUACCGUGUACAGGAGAAUGGAAGAUGGCAGAACAGUUACGAAGAAGAAGACUACUCUUGACAAUGGGUUUGUAGUCCCGUACAAUCGUAUAUUGUUGAGUAAAUACCGAUCUCACAUUAAUAUCGAGUUAUGCAACCAGAACAAGUCAAUCAAAUACAUGUUCAAAUACGUAAACAAGGGGCAUGGCCGAGUUACGGCGGCAAUUUAUGAAACACGCAAUACAGAUGGCGGUGUUGAGAUUUGUGAUGAGAUAAAGAUAUACUACGACUGCAGAUAUCUUUCGGCAUGUGAGGCAAUGUGGAGGUUUGCGAACUUGGGUUAAAAGAGGAUUCUCGAACUUGGGCGCCAAGGAAAAAAAGAUUUUCUAUUGGUAGGCUUGCGAAUGUUCCCCCUGGAAAGGGGAAAGACUAAUACCUUAGAUUGCUACUUAACAUUCAGAGGGGAUAUACGUGCUACGAGGACAUCAGAAAAGUUUUUGACACCGUCUUCCCUACGUUCAGGGAUGCAUGUUAUGUGUUGGGUUUAUUAGAUAACGACAAAGAAUACAUAUAUUCAUUAAUAGAAGUGAAUACUUGGGCACCGAGAAAUUAUAUAAGAAGGUUAUUUGUAGUUAUGCUUAUUUCCAAUAGCUUAAGUUGGCCCGAACAUGUUUGACAAAGUUGUUGGUUGGAUUUGGCUGAGAGUAUUGCUUACAAACAACAAAGUCUUCAUACUAAUCCAGGUAUGGCAAUUUGUAUAACACAUUAUUCAAUUAGAUUUUAAAUAUUACUCAUCCUUUUAAUAUUGUCGUUUUGAACUAAAUGCACAUAAUUUAUCCAUUUUUUUUUUGAAAAUUUACAUAUAUCGGAUGAAAGCUUGAAGAACUAUACUCUCACCGAAAUAGAAAAAAUAUUCCAAAGCAAUGGUAAAAGCUUGCGAAAUUACGCGCCCAUGCCAGUUCCAAUCGAAUUCUCAGCGGAUGACACAGUAAACAUAUUGGUGUUAGAUGAACUAGAUUACGACCGCUUUGAAAUGGGUAGGGAACUUCAACGGUGUCUUGCUUGGAUUACAGACGUGCAAACAAAGGUUUAUGAUGUAGUCAUGGAUGUUGUAUCCAAUGACUGUGGUGGAAUGUUCUUUCUAUAUGGCCAUGGUGAAACGGGAAAGACGUUUCUAUGGGUAAACUCUUUCGGCUGCAGUUCGUUCCAAAGGAGAGAUUGUAAUUAACGUUGCAUCGAGUGGUAUAGCAUCGUUAUUGCUCCCCGGUGGAAGAACAACUCAUUCUCGAUUCGGACUACCCAUAAAUGUACACGAGAGUUCCACCUGUAGCAUAUCGCAACAAAGUCCACAGGCGGAAUUGUUCAUAAGGGCAAAGCUAUAUGGGACAAGGCUCCUAUGAUGCAUAUAUGCUGUUUUGAAGCGCUUGACAAGAAAAUGAAGUCAAUAUUACAGGUUGACAAACUCUUUGGUGGAAAGGUGGUUGUUUUUAGAGGAUAUUUUAGGCAGAUUUUACCAGUUGUGCUCAAAUCAUCAAGGCAGGACAUAGUACAUGCUAAUAUAAACUCCUCUUCGCUGUGGAAUUUCUGUCGUGUCAUGAAGUUGACUAAGAACAUGAGAUUGCAGUCAUGCUCUUCUCCAUCUAACGUGGAUGAGGUAAAAGAAUUUGGAGACUGGAUACUGAAGGUUGGUAGUGAGGAUGUUGGGGAACAAAAUCAUGGUGAAGCUUCGAUAGUGAUUCCCGAUGACAUGUUGAUUGGUGAUUCAGAAGAUCCAUUCAGAGACCUACUGGAUUUCGUUUACCCGGAUUGUUGAGUAACAUAUAUGAUCCAGAUUAUUUUCAAUGGAGAGCAAUUCUUGCACCAACUAAUGAAUGCGUCGAGUUUGUGAACGAUCACUUAAUGUCUCUCCUUCCAGGAGAGGAGAAGGUGUACCUGAGCUCAGAUAGUAUGUUUAGGGACGAGCAAACAAUGGAGGAUAGUGCAGAAAUUUAUUCGACUGAAUUCCUCAACACAAUAAGAUGCUCCGAACUUCGUUCUCAUGCGUUGAAGUUCAAGAUUGGUGCACCCGUUAUGCUAAUAAGAAACAUCGAUCAAGCUAAAGGAUUGUGUAACGGGACCAAACUUCAAAUUAUUAGAACUAGCAUUCACGUUCUGAGUUACAAAACUCUUUCCGGAAAAAAUAUCGGUGACAUGGUGUUCAUCCUCGGAUGACUUUAAUACCAUCUACCGGACUGCCAAUUAAAUUUCAGAGAAGACUGUUUCUAUUGAUUGUUUCUUUUGCAGUGACGAUCAAUAAAAGCCAAGGUCAAACUCUUUCGCAUGUUGGUUUGUAUCUUCCUAAGCAUGUCUUCAGCCAUGAUCAACUAUAUGUUGCACUGUCCAGAGUUACGAGCAGAGGUGGCAUUAAGAUAUUCAUCAAGUUGGAUUCGAGUGAACUCACCAAUGUUACUAGAAAUGCCAUGUACAAGGAAGUAUUUCAUCGAAUUUGAAGGUAGAGAAUAUUUUCAUAUUUACCAAUUAUUAUCAAAUUUGAAGGUAGAGAAUAUUUUCAUAUUUACCAAUUAUUCAUGUAACAUGUCUUUUUUUUAACAACUUAUUCUUUGGCAGGUGUUUCUUCUCUAUAUAAUUUCCCCCGUGCGAUGUUAUUUUCAAUCAUGUCCCUAGGAUGCUCAGUGCAAAUUUUAUUAUCUUUAAGAUUUAUUUUUGACGAUAUACUAAUAUUUUAAUAUUAUUCUUAUGAUGUAACUAUGAAGAACAUGAUGCUUCAAUAUUGCUGGUCGCUUUUUGUAUUUGAAUUCAAUGAGCGUAAUAAUUUAUAUAUGCGUAAAUUUAUUUUUCAGACAUGUAUUUCCAGUUGAAAAUAUGUCACCCCGUGCAUCGCACGGGUGAAUACUAGUUCAUUAAUAAUAUGGGUGAAUAUGGUAAGUGGGGUUAUUUUGAAAUUAAUAAUAAUAUGUGAUAUAUGUGGUGGAACAUAAUUGCAUUUCAGUCUCACGGUUUUUUUAUCGAAAAUAUUAUAAUAAAAAAAAAACUCAUUAAACAAUAAAAAGACACUAUUUUGUCAUGUAGGAUAGAUGAAAUUUGAAAAUUGGGUUUUUUUUGGCAAUUAAUAUAAUAUUGUGCAUAAAAUUUAAUUAACCCAAAUUAAGUGGAAUGUACAUUUAUAUAUCUACGUUUUUAAUAUGAAGCAAUUGAUUGAAAAAGGAAACUCAAUAACCAAUAAAAAGACACCAUUUUGACAUGUAGGAGAGAUAAAAUUUUAAAACCAAUAAUGUCAAAUUAAUUGAUUAAUAAUAUGGGUGAAUAUGGUAAGUGGGUUAUUUUGAAAUUUAUAAAAUAAUGUAGACUCAAUCUCCUCAACUGGAUAACUUUUAUUGUGUAUUUUAGUUUUAUAUAUAAUAUAGAUGUCACUACCAAAUUAUUACAUAAUUACCACUCACUAUGUAAUUAAAAACUACCACUUAGUAGGUAAUUACAAAAUUAUCACUCAACAUGUAAUUAAAGAACUACCACUCAACCCGUAAUUACGAAAGUGUCACUCAACAGUAAUAAUAUAACGACCACUUAUCAAAUAAUUUCAUAAUUGCCACUCAGCAGGUAAAUAAAGAACUGCACUCAGCAGGUAAUUACGGAAUUGCCACUUACCGAUUAAUUAUAGAACUACCGCUGAACAUUAAUAAGAGAACUGCCACGCACCAAGUAAUUACAGAAUUACCAUUCACCAAGUAAUUAAAGAAAUGUCACUUAACAUCGUAAUUACAGAACUGUCACUCACCAGAUAGUUAAAGAACUGCCACUCAACAAAUAAUAACAUAACUCCCAUUAAGCAUUAAUUACGGAAGUACCACUCACCAGGUAAUUAUAGAAAUGCCUCACCAAGUAAUUAUAGAACUGCCACUUAAUAGUAAUUCUGAAAUUGCCGCUCAUCAAGUAAUUACACAAUUGCUAAACACCAAGUAAUUAUAUGAUUUCCACUCAACAAUAAUUGCAGAACUUCCAAUCAUCAAGUAACUAGAGAACUACCACACAACAGAUAAUUACAGGACUGCCAUUCAACAUUAAUUAUAAAAUUGACAUUCAACAGCAACAGAAUUCCCACUCACCGUUAAUUACAACACUGCUACUUAACAGUAAUUACAGAACUGCCACGCAUCAAGUAAUUACAUAAUGUUCACUCACUUGGUAAUUACAGAAAUCCCACUCAACAUCGUAAUUAUGGAAAUGCCACUCACAAAUAAUUACAGAACUGCAGUUCAUCAAUGAUUAUAGAAGUGACACGCACCCGAUAAUUACAUAACUACCACUCAACAACAAUUAUAAAAUUGUCACUCAACAAAUAAUUAAUGAACUGCCAUUUACCAAUAACUAUUGAACUAUCAUUCACCAAAUAAUUACAGAACUGCCACUCAGUUAUUAAAGAAUUUUCACUCAACAAGUAAUUACAGCCACUCAGUAGUACUUACAUAACUGCCACUCAUCAAUAAUUACAAAACUAGUACUGAACAUAUAAUUACAGAACUGUCAUUCUACAGGUAAUUACAGUACUGGCAUAUAAAUACAGAAUAGUCAUUCACCAGGUAAUUACAAAACUACCACUUAACAAUAAUUACAGAUCUGCCACUCAUCAAGUAAUUAAAGAACGACCAUGCACCAAGUAAUUAUAGCACUGCCACUGAACAAUAAUUACAGAACUGUCAUACAUAAAGUAAUUAUAUAACUAACACUCAUCAAAUAGUUACAGAACUGUCGUUUAGCAGUGAUACAGAACUGUUACUCACUAAGUAAUUACAAAACUAGCACUCAUCAGGUAAUUACAGAACUGUCACUCACUAAAGAAGUAUAUAAUUGUCACUCAAAAAUUAUUACACAACUCAAACUCAUCAAGUAUUUACAAAAUUUCCACUCAACCAGUAAUUACAAAAGUGCUACUCAACAGUAAAUACAUAAGUGUCGCUAAGCAGUGAUUAAAUAACUGUCACUCAGCAAAUAAUUAAAGAACUGCCACUCAUUAGCAAUUACAGACACUCAACAAAUAAUUACAUAAUUGCCACUCAACAAAUGAUUAAAAAAAUGCUUCUAAGAGCAUCACCAAGAGUGUAAUGCAAAAUCAUAUUUUACACAAUAUGAACAAUCAAGAGCAAAAAAGUGAGCUCCAAGAGGAAAAUGCAUAAUUUUUAAAUUGGCUAAAUCGGGGAAAAUUACAGUUAAUGUCCCUAAAUUUUACCACUAAAACGAUUUAUGUCCUCAAACAUUUCAAUCCACGAAAUAUGUCAUCAAACUUGCCACUUUUGAUCACUUUAUGUUCUGCCGUUAACGUCGGCAGCUAACUUCGAUGGAAAUAGCACGCGUGGCUCACGUGACGUCUAUGUGGCCGUUAAAUGUCGAGCUGUACAACACCCAGUGCCUACUUGGUCGACGAAACGUGAUGUGGAGCGACACGUCAUUCUCCUCCCCUAUUUCUAUUCUAAAAUCCCUAAUUCUCCAUAUCCCCAAUGAACCCGUAAAUCCAAUCCCUAAAACCCCAUUUCGAAUCCUUCAAUUGAGGUGAAAUUCGAAAAUAACAGAAUCGUCUGUGAAUCCAUGGCCAUUUUUCGUGGUAUUUUACCAGCAAAAUAGCCCAAUAAACAAAUGCGAAUGUUUCCUCGAUUUCACUUUCAUCUUCGGGCUGAAAUAUCAUGUCUUCUUCCACUUCGUUGAGGAAGUCGGGGAGCUGGAAUCCGUUCUUGGGCACUCUAUUCUUGGCGAAAAAAGAAUUAUAUGCAGCUUUGACAGGUGCUGCAUGUUUCUUUUUUCCGGAAUUGGUUCAAACAUUUUGUCGAACACCUUCUGGGCAGGUUCUGAAUCUGCUGAGUUGGGUAGAAUUUGUGCCAUCUUCACCAUCCUUGUGCUCGCUUCAUCGAGACCACAAGGGGCACAAGCAUCAGCAAGCGAAGAAUCACACGACCCCAACGUUCUAGAGACGGAGUUGGGAGAAAAAUUAAAGCUUCCUCUAAAAUCUUUUUCAUAACCAUAAGAGGAGUCGCGUUUACCUUCUUCCUCUCGAUUGCAGACAUGUGUUUGCACGUGAAUCUGUGGUUCUUUGAGAAGGGAAAAACUCUUCAAAUGUGAGAAUGUUUGGAUUUUUUUUAUGAAACGUGAUUUGGGAUUUGGGAUUUGGGCAGAGUGGAUUAGAGGAAAUUAGUAUAUUCUUGUGCCACGUCAACAUUUAAUAUUCAAUAUAUUAUUCCACGUCACAUUUAACGGCCACAUAGACGUCACGUGAGCCACGCGUGCUAUUUCCAUCGAAGUUAGCUGCCGACGUUAACUGCCGACGUUAACGGCAGAACAUAAAGUGAUCAAAAGUGGCAAGUUUGAGAACAUAUUUCGUGGAUUGAAAUGUUUGAGGACAUAAACCGUUUUAGUGGUAAAAUUUAGGGACAUAAAUUGUAAUUUUCCCGCUAAAUUGUAACUUUGGCUUCUCAAAUUUGAAAAACCAAAAAUACAAUUUAGCAAAUCUAGGAAAUAUUAAAAUAAUAUUAUAUUAUACUUUAUAAUAUAUUUACCAUUAAAAAAUAUUUUAUAUUAUCUUACUUGUUUUUUGCAAAUGAAUGUACUAAAGAUGAAAUUUAAUUACUAUUUUACUUAGUAUUAAUAAUAACAAAAUUAAAAUAAAAAAAUAUUUCAUAACGAAUUAUAAAAUUUUAAUGUUUAUUAAUAUAUGUCAAUUAAGUUAUUGAAAUUUAAUUUAUUAAAUUUAAAAUUAAUUUUGUAUACUUAUUAAUUAGUAUUAUUAAUUAUUAGUAUAUUAACUAAAAUAAAAGUCAAAUAAAUUUAUAAAACAAAAAUUAUAUAAGAUUCAACAUAUAAAUAUAUGUUUAUAAUAAUACACAUUUUUAUUAAUAUUUUAAAAUAAUUGAAUAUCAUGUAGAAACUAUUUAAUAAAAAAUAAUUAAAUAUAAUAAUUGUGUAAAAUAUAAACAAUGUUGUUGGAUUGCAGUGUUAAAAGUGAAGUGGUAAAAUACUGUUCGUUGGUUUUAUUAUAGAUAUAGACAAUCGUUUUUAGACAAACUCUUAGAGAUGGCCUAAGCAGCAACCUACAGAACUCACACUCAACAAAUAACAAAUAAUUACAUAACUGCCACUCAGCAGCAAUUACAGAACUCACGCUCAACAAAUAAUUACAAAACUUUUCCAUUGACCAAGUAAAUUACACUUUGUGAUAAUCUUCGAGACUUGUUCUUGUGUAGGUACAGUCCAUUCUUCACUAAAAUUAUCUUCAUAAAAUAGCUGAAGAAGAUGAGGGGCUUUGGAAUAACGCUGCUGAUUCGUAGACCAAUUGUUGCUGCUAAAUCUUCUCACCAAUACGGUAUUUUUGUUCAUCCCUUUUCUUUAUUCCGUUCAAAUUUUCACAAAGAUCGAUCCUUUUCACCUAAACCCAGAAUAGAUUUGAGUUGUAUAAAUGAAGUAGACGAUGCUGUUUUCUUGUUUGGUCAAAUGGUAAGAAUGCAGCCACAGCCUUCCGUU
rnacentral:lncRNA from 1 species